rnacentral:rRNA from 1 species
GUGCCAGCAGCCGCGGUAACACGGAGGGUGCAAGCGUUAUUCGGAAUUAUUGGGCGUAAAGGGCGCGUAGGCGGCCGAACAGGUCAGGUGUGAAAGCCCGGGGCUUAACCCCGGAAGUGCAUUUGAAACCUUUUGGCUUGAGUAUGGGAGAGGAGAGCGGAAUUCCUGGUGUAGAGGUGAAAUUCGUAGAUAUCAGGAGGAACACCGGUGGCGAAGGCGGCUCUCUGGACCAAUACUGACGCUGAGGCGCGAAGGCGUGGGUAGCAAACAGGAUUAGAUACCCUUGUAGUCC